rnacentral:lncRNA from 1 species
UACCUUGACGCAACCCUCUCCUUCCCGUCUCUCAUGUUUUUCCUCGUUCGUAGUUCCGGAGGCGCUUGGCGAAGCCCUGCUAGGAUUGCUCCACCACCAUCUCCACCAUGUUGUCAUGUUGGUCAAGAUCCCAUCUACUUCUCUGCCCUCACUUGCUGGAUCAAGGAGGCGGAGAUGUCAUCGAGCCACACGUGUGCUGAACGCGGAGGUGUCGUCCGUUUGGCGCUAGAUUGGAACGGAUCGUGAUUAGAUCGUGAAGACGUACGACUACAUCAACCGCGUUAUAUAUGCUUCCACUUAGCGAUCUACAAGGGUAUGUAGAUGCACUCCCCCUCUCGUAGAUGUUGAUAUCCAUAGAUUGAGCUUGGUGAGCGUAGGAAUUUUUUUGUUUCCCACACGACAUUCCCCAACAAUUUCGAUAAGUG